UGGUUCGGGAUGGGCUCGCGGCCUAUCAGCUUGUUGGUGAGGUAAUGGCUCACCAAGGCGUCGACGGGUAGCCGGCCUGAGAGGGUGACCGGCCACACUGGGACUGAGACACGGCCCAGACUCCUACGGGAGGCAGCAGUGGGGAAUAUUGCACAAUGGGCGGAAGCCUGAUGCAGCAACGCCGCGUGAGGGAUGACGGCCUUCGGGUUGUAAACCUCUUUUAGCAAGGAAGAAGCGAAAGUGACGGUACUUGCAGAAAAAGCGCCGGCUAACUACGUGCCAGCAGCCGCGGUAAUACGUAGGGCGCAAGCGUUAUCCGGAAUUAUUGGGCGUAAAGAGCUCGUAGGCGGUUUGUCGCGUCUGCUGUGAAAACUGGAGGCUCAACCUCCAGCCUGCAGUGGGUACGGGCAGACUAGAGUGCGGUAGGGGAGAUUGGAAUUCCUGGUGUAGCGGUGGAAUGCGCAGAUAUCAGGAGGAACACCGAUGGCGAAGGCAGAUCUCUGGGCCGUAACUGACGCUGAGGAGCGAAAGGGUGGGGAGCAAACAGGCUUAGAUACCCUGGUAGUCCACCCCGUAAACGUUGGGAACUAGUUGUGGGGGCCAUUCCACGGUCUCCGUGACGCAGCU
rnacentral:rRNA from 1 species